rnacentral:rRNA from 1 species
UACGUAGGGUGCAAGCGUUAAUCGGAAUUACUGGGCGUAAAGCGUGCGCAGGCGGUUGUGUAAGUCAGAUGUGAAAUCCCCGGGCUCAACCUGGGAAUUGCAUUUGAGACUGCACGGCUAGAGUGUGUCAGAGGGGGGUAGAAUUCCACGUGUAGCAGUGAAAUGCGUAGAGAUGCGGAGGAACACCGAUGGCGAAGGCAGCCCCCUGGGCUGACACUGACGCUCAGGCACGAAAGCGUGGGGAGCAAACAGG